GCCUAAGUAGUUUAACCUAAAACAGUGGUUUUGUAAACCACUAAUGACUUAAAAGUCCCUAGGCU
rnacentral:tRNA from 1 species